UGUAAAGAAGGAACAACAGUGAAUUUUUAAAACGAUAUUUUAAAUUAUAAUUCUGGUUGUAAAUAUACGGACAUAACCAUGAAAAUUUUAAUGCUAUACUAUCAGUAUUUUUACUAUGUGUUAUUUUGACAGAACAAAAAUCAAAAUACGUGAAUUGCCCUAAUGAACACAAAUAUAUGUCAAAUCCGAAAAUAAAAGAUGGAUGCUUUGAAGUUAUCUGUAAAAGUGGGAACUGUCCACAUAUAAAAUGUGAAAUUGGAAAACCAGCAACGCAUUACAAUAAAUCAAACAUUUACCCUGAUUGCUGUGACGAUUUAUCUGAUUAUUAAUAAUUAUUUACCCCGGGCAUUUAUUUCUCAAACAUUUUUAAUAAUUAGAACUUUUUUGUUAGUAAUAAUUAAAAAAUAUAAAGUAAAAUAUUCUACAAGUAAAAAAAUGUAGUUCUUUCUUUCCAAAUAAAGAAAGACUUAGUAUUAGUAUAGGUAAAUAUAAUUUAAUACUCUUAAACUGCUAAUUGACCCAAUUAAUUGUAUAAUCAUUUGCGAUAAAAGUAAAGGAAAUAAUGUUGAAUAAAACUUUAAAAGACACAUAUACGGAGAUUAUUAUUAGGACCUUGAAUUUUAAUGUUAAGGG